UUUAGUGUUAAUCUAUCAUUUUUAAACCAGAUCUGACCUCUUCCUCCUCCAGGACACCAGACUCUCUCAGCACUUUGGGAAACACUCGUGGAGUGAAGCUGAUCCUCAUGCAGUUGAUGAGUUUGUUUCUUCAUCAGCAUUCACACUGACACCAAUGCUACCACUCAGUGGGCGGAGCCGCACUCACUCCAGCUGACGGUGACGUCACAUGCAUCCUUGCAUCCUAUUUCUUCUAGCCUUUACCAGUUAAACGUCAGACUGACUUCCGCGUUCAGGAAAAACGUCUUAAAGGCAUUGCAGCUGCAGUCUAUCAACGAUCACCACAUACCCUAUCUUUUCCAGAAAGUCACAGGACAUCGCAUAGAAACAAUGAACACUUGGGGGACCCUGGAUGACGUGGGUGAAGGGUGGUGGGAGUUGGCAUAUAAGUUGUUCCUUGAAAGUGAUCCAGUUAAAACAACUCUUAGUAAUGUUGGUUUUUAUAUAAAUGGGGACAGAUGGAAUGAUUAUGGAUUCAGCUGUGAAACACAUAUUCCUCCAACUGGGGAAUUCCAUGGUGUUUCUAAAAAGGCAAUUUUGGUGGUGAUUUCAAGAGCGAGGAGAAUGGAGUGGGGUGACUGGAAGAUGCUACAUGGGACAAGAUCUGAACCUGAGGAUCUACAUCAACGUGACAAGGACGUUAUAAACUGGAUUACUGCCCAGAUAUAUAAUGAGGAUGGCAGCCCUAAACCAUUAAACAAAUAGGCUGAACAAUAUUAAUGAUGACAUUAUUCCUUUUCCUGUUAGAUGGGAUGGCUGUUUUAAUUAUAUGAAUUUUCCUUUUAUUAUUCUCAUUAUUAUAUCCAGCAGUUAAUCAUUUAUAGUUAAUCAUUUUAUGUUCUCGUUUGCAUCUGUAAGAAACUUUCAAAAAUGUUUAUCCAGCUUGUUUGAGUCUUCAGACUUCAGCAUCCAUAGUAAUGAUUCUAUUCAUCAUUAACCUUUAUACUUAUAUGUACUUUUAUACUUGUUUUGCAAUUAUAUAAGGCAACUAAUGUAUAUCCAGUAUUGUGAUUCUGGCUGCAAUAAACAUCCAUUCAAAAAGGCAAAUGUCAUUUUAUUGGAAAGAUGAAUACUGUUAAAAAGAGCAUGAAUAAAAUAUUUCUACAGCUUA